rnacentral:rRNA from 1 species
CCUACGGGGGGCUGCAGUGGGGAAUAUUGGACAAUGGGCGGAAGCCUGAUCCAGCAAUACCGCGUGUGUGAAGAAGGCCUGAGGGUUGUAAAGCACUUUCAAUAGGGAGGAAAAAGCGGAGGCCAAUACCCUCUGUAUUGACAAUACCUAUAGAAGAAGCACCGGCUAACUCCGUGCCAGCAGCCGCGGUACUACGGAGGGGGCGAGCGUUAAUCGGAAUUACUGGGAGUAGAGCGUUUAAGCCAGAUGUGAAAGCCCCGGGCUUAACCUGGGAAUGGCAUUUGGGACUGGCGUGCUGGAGUUGGGUAGAGGGGAGCGGAAUUCCGGGUGUAGCGGUGAAAUGCGUAGAUAUCCGGAGGAACACCAGUGGCGAAGGCGGCUCCCUGGACCCAAACUGACGCUGAGGCACGAAAGCGUGGGUAGCAAACAGGAUUAGAUACCCCAGUAGUC